GACGAACGCUGGCGGCGUGCUUAACACAUGCAAGUCGAACGGAAAGGCCCUGCUUUUGUGGGGUGCUCGAGUGGCGAACGGGUGAGUAACACGUGAGUAACCUGCCCUUGACUUUGGGAUAACUUCAGGAAACUGGGGCUAAUACCGGAUAGGAGCUCCUGCUGCAUGGUGGGGGUUGGAAAGUUUCGGCGGUUGGGGAUGGACUCGCGGCUUAUCAGCUUGUUGGUGGGGUAGUGGCUUACCAAGGCUUUGACGGGUAGCCGGCCUGAGAGGGAGACCGGCCAAAUUGGGACUGAGAUACGGCCCAGACUCCUACGGGAGGCAGCAGUGGGGAAUAGUGCACAAUGGGCGGAAGCCUGAUGCAGCAACGCCGCGUGCGGGAUGACGGCCUUCGGGUUGUAAACCGCUUUCGCCUGUGACGAAGCGUGAGUGACGGUAAUGGGUAAAGAAGCACCGGCUAACUACGUG
rnacentral:rRNA from 1 species